rnacentral:lncRNA from 1 species
CUUGAGAUUUCGGCCUAAUGAAGAAGAUGGAUAAAAAUUGGCUUUUAAUUUUGUUUUUAAUUCAUUUUAAUAACUAAAUGACCAAAAUGCCCUUCUACUAAACUUUCCAAAAAUUCAUUCGAUGUCCUAAUUUUGUCCAUGAACUUAAAAUUGGUCAAAUUGCUAUUUAAGAUCUCCUAAUUAAUAUUUCAAUGCAAUUUCAUACUAAAAACUUCUAGAAUGCAAAUUUUGCAACUUAUUCGAUUUAGUCCCUAAUUUCAAUUUAAGCACUUUAGGCAUAGAAUUUCAUCACAAAAUUUUCACACAAUCAUGCAAUCAUAUCAUAAUCAUCAAAAUAAUUAUAAAAUAAUUAUUUCUAUCUCGGAUUUGUGGUCACGAAACCACUAUUCCGAUUAAGCCCUAAUUCAGGAUAUUACAACUCUCCUCCCCCUCCCCUUUUAAGGAUUUUCUUCCUCGAAAAUCUUACCGAUAAACAGGUGUGGGUAUUGGUUUUUCAUAGUUUCUUCAGGUUCCCAUGUAGUCUCUUCUACCCCAUGCCUUUGACACAGCUGGAUCGAGAUCCAUUUACUAUGUAAAAAUCAUUUAAAAAGGUCAGAAGUCGUCACACUAUCACAAUUCAUACAUAUGGCAUGUAUAGCAAAAUCCGUACAUACAACACGUAGUCCGAGAACUGACUAAACCUGCUCUGAUACCACUAAAUGUAACGCCCCCAUGCCCGAAACCGUUGCCGGAGUCGAGCUUGAGGAGUUACCGAACAUAAUUUAUCAAAUUAAGAACUUCAAAUAAUUUGUUUCUACAUUCACAGCUUUCUAGCUACCCGCGUCACAGUUACAAGAAAAAUCAUAUCUCGAGUUACGAAACUAAAAAUCAAAAUCCGUAAAUUUUUCCUAAAUCUAGACUCAUAUAUCUAUUUACUAAAUUGUUUCUAGAAUUUUUGGUUGGGCAAAUUAGUACAGUUUAUUAGUUAAAGUCUCCCAUGUUUCAGAGUUCGACUGCUCUGACCUCUGUGUAUUACGAAUCAGAUAUCUCUCUAUACAGAAUUUAAAUGACUAUGAGGUUUCUUUAUAUUAAAACUAGACUCAAUAAGAAAUCUGUACUUAUAAAUAAAAACUUCUAAUUAUUUUUGUAAAAUUUAUUAUGAAUUUUUAAAGUCAGAACAGGGGAUUCAGAAAUCACUCUGGCCCUGUUUCACAAAAGUUUAAAUAUCUCAUAAAAUAUAAUUUAUAUGCCUGUUUUGUUCAAUUCAAUUUCAUAACUUACUCAUCAUAUUUCCAUUUAUACUAUUUUUAGUGAUUUUUCAAAUUCAUGUCAUUGCUGCAGCAAUAUUCUGUUUUAAGGCAAAUUUCAUCUUUUCAUGAGUUGUUAUGAACUAGAUAACCUAUUAAACUUCCAUGAUAUCAAACAUGAUCUAAAUUUAACCAUCACCAUGACUUAUCAAUAUCAAACAUUUUCUCAACCAAUCAUGGCCAUAUCAUAAAAUUAUUUACACAAAAUAAGUAUAUUGCUAUAGAUGUCAUACUUAAGUUUUACAAGCCAUUUACCCAGAUGAAAGUCCUUUAGAUAGUGUGAUCGAACCUUCGACCCGUCCCGAUUCCCGAGCUGGCUUGUUCAAAACUAUAGUAAAUAAAGAGGAGGGAGUAAGCAUAAAUGCUUAGUAAGUUCAUAUGUAAAUAACAAGUAACAUAACAAUACAAAUAUACCAAACAACUUUAGCAUGGUAUCACCAAAACAUAUGUCAUAUUUCUAAACAUCAUUCAUCAUCUUACCACCUUAUCGUUGUUGUAUCUAUUAUCAACCCGAGGGUUAAGAACAUACCUGUCCAAAGUGUCCAUUUCACAACACUUACCAAUACGUCGCUUGCAUCUUAAGUGUUCUUUCAUUUCACUAGGAAUUUCACCCGUUGAACACAUCGGAAUACAGCUCGGAUACACGGAUAAUUUGCACAUAAGUGCCUCAUGUGUAAUCAAGAAAUCACAUAACCCGCCCCUAAGUGAACUCGGACUCAACUCAACGAGCUCGGGUGUUCGCAUCCAUAAGUGAACUCGGACUCAACUCAACGAGUUCGGAUGCCUAGUUACAUUUCACGAACUCGGACUCAACUCAACGAGUUCGGACAUUCGCAUCCAUAAGUGAACUCGGACUCAACUCAACGAGUUCGGAUGCUCAACCAUCCUAGUGACAUGUCACUUGUAUCCUAAUCUAUUCCUAAGGUUCAAACGGGAUUUUCCUCGAACACAUAUCCUUUCCAUCUUCCGUAAAAUACCAAAACCAAUACUCGGUAGGACUUUAUAUUUAACAAUUAAUACACAUAAUUUGCAUUUUAUUCGAAAAUAACCACAAAGCAUAUAUUUCAUAAUAAAAAUCAGCAUAUCAUAUAAUUAACAUCAAUAACUUAAAAAUAACAAUUAUGCUACAUUAUUUACACAUGAACUUACCUUGGUACCAAAAUAUAAAGAUUUAGCAAUUUAGUCCACAAUAUUUUCUUUUCCUCGAUCGCGAC